GUGAGGAAUAUUGGUCAAUGGGCGAGAGCCUGAACCAGCCAAGUAGCGUGAAGGAUGAAGGUUCUAUGGAUUGUAAACUUCUUUUAUAAGGGAAUAACAGACACUACGUGUAGUGUUUUGCAUGUACCUUAUGAAUAAGCAUCGGCUAACUCCGUGCCAGCAGCCGCGGUAAUACGGAGGAUGCGAGCGUUAUCCGGAUUUAUUGGGUUUAAAGGGAGCGUAGACGGGAUGUUAAGUCAGCUGUGAAAGUUUGGGGCUCAACCUUAAAAUUGCAGUUGAAACUGGCGUUCUUGAGUGCGGCAGAGGCAGGCGGAAUUCGUGGUGUAGCGGUGAAAUGCUUAGAUAUCACGAAGAACUCCGAUUGCGAAGGCAGCUUGCUGGAGCGUAACUGACGUUGAUGCUCGAAAGUGUGGGUAUCAAACAGG
rnacentral:rRNA from 1 species